ACGAACGCUGGCGGCGUGCCUAAUACAUGCAAGUCGAGCGAAGUUUUUCUGGUGCUUGCACUAGAAAAACUUAGCGGCGAACGGGUGAGUAACACGUAAAGAACCUGCCUCAUAGACGGGGACAACUAUUGGAAACGAUAGCUAAUACCGGAUAACAGCAUAAAUCGCAUGAUAUAUGUUUGAAAGUUGGUUUCGGCUAACACUAUGAGAUGGCUUUGCGGUGCAUUAGCUAGUUGGUGGGGUAAAGGCCUACCAAGGCGACGAUGCAUAGCCGACCUGAGAGGGUGAUCGGCCACACUGGGACUGAGACACGGCCCAGACUCCUACGGGAGGCAGCAGUAGGGAAUCUUCCGCAAUGGGCGAAAGCCUGACGGAGCAACGCCGCGUGAGUGAAGAAGGAUUUCGGUUCGUAAAGCUCUGUUGUUAGGGAAGAAUGAUUGUAUAGUAACUAUAUACAGUAGAGACGGUAC
rnacentral:rRNA from 1 species